GACGUAGGGCGCAAGCGUUGUCCGGAUUUAUUGGGCGUAAAGAGCUCGUAGGCGGCCUGUCGCGUCGACUGUGAAAACCCGCAGCUUAACUGCGGGACUGCAGUCGAUACGGGCAGGCUAGAGUUCGGUAGGGGAGACUGGAAUUCCUGGUGUAGCGGUGAAAUGCGCAGAUAUCGGGAGGAACACCAGUAGCGAAGGCGGCACUCUGGGCCGGUACUGACGCUGAGGAGCGAAAGCGUGGGAGCAACAGG
rnacentral:rRNA from 1 species